CCGAGUUUACAACUCCCAAACCCCUGUGAACAUACCUAUACGUUGCCUCGGCGGAUCAGCCCGCGCCCCGUAAAACGGGACGGCCCGCCCGAGGACCCCUAAACUCUGUUUUUAGUGGAACUUCUGAGUAAAACAAACAAAUAAAUCA
rnacentral:misc_RNA from 2 species